rnacentral:rRNA from 1 species
UGAGCCUACGGGGGGCAGCAGUGAGGAAUAUUGGUCAAUGGGCGGAAGCCUGAACCAGCCAAGUCGCGUGAGGGAUUAAGGCCCUAUGGGUCGUAAACCUCUUUUGUCAGGGAGCAAUGGCGUCCACGUGUGGGCGUAUGGAGAGUACCUGAAGAAAAAGCAUCGGCUAACUCCGUGCCAGCAGCCGCGGUAAUACGGAGGAUGCGAGCGUUAUCCGGAUUUAUUGGGUUUAAAGGGUGCGUAGGCGGAAUAUCAAGUCAGCGGUAAAAAUUCGGGGCUCAACCCCGUCGUGCCGUUGAAACUGA